rnacentral:tRNA from 1 species
UGGGGGAUGGUGUAAUUGGCAACACAUUUGGUUUUGGUCCAAACGUUGAGGGUUCGAGUCCUUCUCCCCCAGCUA